rnacentral:rRNA from 1 species
GGGUUGUGAGGUUAAGCGACUAAGCGUACACGGUGGAUGCCCUGGCAGUCAGAGGCGAUGAAGGACGUGCUAAUCUGCGAUAAGCGUCGGUAAGGUGAUAUGAACCGUUAUAACCGGCGAUUUCCGAAUGGGGAAACCCAGUGUGAUUCGUCACACUAUCAUUAACUGAAUCCAUAGGUUAAUGAGGCGAACCGGGGGAACUGAAACAUCUAAGUACCCCGAGGAAAAGAAAUCAACCGAGAUUCCCCCAGUAGCGGCGAGCGAACGGGGAGCAGCCCAGAGCCUGAAUCAGUGUGUGUGUUAGUGGAAGCGUCUGGAAAGGCGCGCGAUACAGGGUGACAGCCCCGUACACAAAAAUGCACAUGCUGUGAGCUCGAUGAGUAGGGCGGGACACGUGGUAUCCUGUCUGAAUAUGGGGGGACCAUCCUCCAAGGCUAAAUACUCCUGACUGACCGAUAGUGAACCAGUACCGUGAGGGAAAGGCGAAAAGAACCCCGGCGAGGGGAGUGAAAAAGAACCUGAAACCGUGUACGUACAAGCAGUGGGAGCACAGAGCAAUCUGUGUGACUGCGUACCUUUUGUAUAAUGGGUCAGCGACUUAUAUUCUGUAGCAAGGUUAACCGAAUAGGGGAGCCGAAGGGAAACCGAGUCUUAACUGGGCGUUAAGUUGCAGGGUAUAGACCCGAAACCCGGUGAUCUAGCCAUGGGCAGGUUGAAGGUUGGGUAACACUAACUGGAGGACCGAACCGACUAAUGUUGAAAAAUUAGCGGAUGACUUGUGGCUGGGGGUGAAAGGCCAAUCAAACCGGGAGAUAGCUGGUUCUCCCCGAAAGCUAUUUAGGUAGCGCCUCGUGAAUUCAUCUCCGGGGGUAGAGCACUGUUUCGGCAAGGGGGUCAUCCCGACUUACCAACCCGAUGCAAACUGCGAAUACCGGAGAAUGUUAUCACGGGAGACACACGGCGGGUGCUAACGUCCGUCGUGAAGAGGGAAACAACCCAGACCGCCAGCUAAGGUCCCAAAGUCAUGGUUAAGUGGGAAACGAUGUGGGAAGGCCCAGACAGCCAGGAUGUUGGCUUAGAAGCAGCCAUCAUUUAAAGAAAGCGUAAUAGCUCACUGGUCGAGUCGGCCUGCGCGGAAGAUGUAACGGGGCUAAACCAUGCACCGAAGCUGCGGCAGCGACGCUGAUGCGUUGUUGGGUAGGGGAGCGUUCUGUAAGCCUGCGAAGGUGUGCUGUGAGGCAUGCUGGAGGUAUCAGAAGUGCGAAUGCUGACAUAAGUAACGAUAAAGCGGGUGAAAAGCCCGCUCGCCGGAAGACCAAGGGUUCCUGUCCAACGUUAAUCGGGGCAGGGUGAGUCGACCCCUAAGGCGAGGCCGAAAGGCGUAGUCGAUGGGAAACAGGUUAAUAUUCCUGUACUUGGUGUUACUGCGAAGGGGGGACGGAGAAGGCUAUGUUGGCCGGGCGACGGUUGUCCCGGUUUAAGCGUGUAGGCUGGUUUUCCAGGCAAAUCCGGAAAAUCAAGGCUGAGGCGUGAUGACGAGGCACUACGGUGCUGAAGCAACAAAUGCCCUGCUUCCAGGAAAAGCCUCUAAGCAUCAGGUAACAUCAAAUCGUACCCCAAACCGACACAGGUGGUCAGGUAGAGAAUACCAAGGCGCUUGAGAGAACUCGGGUGAAGGAACUAGGCAAAAUGGUGCCGUAACUUCGGGAGAAGGCACGCUGAUAUGUAGGUGAAGCGACUUGCUCGUGGAGCUGAAAUCAGUCGAAGAUACCAGCUGGCUGCAACUGUUUAUUAAAAACACAGCACUGUGCAAACACGAAAGUGGACGUAUACGGUGUGACGCCUGCCCGGUGCCGGAAGGUUAAUUGAUGGGGUCAGCGCAAGCGAAGCUCUUGAUCGAAGCCCCGGUAAACGGCGGCCGUAACUAUAACGGUCCUAAGGUAGCGAAAUUCCUUGUCGGGUAAGUUCCGACCUGCACGAAUGGCGUAAUGAUGGCCAGGCUGUCUCCACCCGAGACUCAGUGAAAUUGAACUCGCUGUGAAGAUGCAGUGUACCCGCGGCAAGACGGAAAGACCCCGUGAACCUUUACUAUAGCUUGACACUGAACAUUGAGCCUUGAUGUGUAGGAUAGGUGGGAGGCUUUGAAGUGUGGACGCCAGUCUGCAUGGAGCCGACCUUGAAAUACCACCCUUUAAUGUUUGAUGUUCUAACGUUGACCCGUAAUCCGGGUUGCGGACAGUGUCUGGUGGGUAGUUUGACUGGGGCGGUCUCCUCCUAAAGAGUAACGGAGGAGCACGAAGGUUGGCUAAUCCUGGUCGGACAUCAGGAGGUUAGUGCAAUGGCAUAAGCCAGCUUGACUGCGAGCGUGACGGCGCGAGCAGGUGCGAAAGCAGGUCAUAGUGAUCCGGUGGUUCUGAAUGGAAGGGCCAUCGCUCAACGGAUAAAAGGUACUCCGGGGAUAACAGGCUGAUACCGCCCAAGAGUUCAUAUCGACGGCGGUGUUUGGCACCUCGAUGUCGGCUCAUCACAUCCUGGGGCUGAAGUAGGUCCCAAGGGUAUGGCUGUUCGCCAUUUAAAGUGGUACGCGAGCUGGGUUUAGAACGUCGUGAGACAGUUCGGUCCCUAUCUGCCGUGGGCGCUGGAGAACUGAGGGGGGCUGCUCCUAGUACGAGAGGACCGGAGUGGACGCAUCACUGGUGUUCGGGUUGUCAUGCCAAUGGCACUGCCCGGUAGCUAAAUGCGGAAGAGAUAAGUGCUGAAAGCAUCUAAGCACGAAACUUGCCCCGAGAUGAGUUCUCCCUGACUCCUUGAGAGUCCUGAAGGAACGUUGAAGACGACGACGUUGAUAGGCCGGGUGUGUAAGCGCAGCGAUGCGUUGAGCUAACCGGUACUAAUGAACCGUGAGGCUUAACCUUACAACGCCGAAGGUGUUU